rnacentral:rRNA from 1 species
AUUGAACGCUGGAGGCGUGCUUAACACAUGCAAGUCGUGCGAGAAAGGGACUUCGGUCCUGAGUAGAGCGGCGCACGGGUGAGUAACGCGUGGGUAAUCUCCCUUCGUGACUGGGAUAACAGUGGGAAACUGCUGCUAAUACCGGAUAAUCUUCAUGUUUAACUUCAUGGGGAAAAGGUGGCCUCUGCUUGCAAGCUACCACACAAAGAUGAGCCCGCGUCUCAUUAGCUAGUUGGUAGGGUAAUGGCCUACCAGGGCUACGAUGAGUAGCUGGUCUGAGAGGAUGACCAGCCACACUGGGACUGGAACACGGCCCAGACUCCUACGGGAGGCAGCAGUGGGGAAUAUUGCGCAAUGGGCGAAAGCCUGACGCAGCGACGCCUCGUGAGGGAUGAAGGUCUUCGGAUCGUAAACCUCUGUCAAGAGGGAAGAAACCCUUGGAUUCGAAUAGGGUCCUUGGCUGACGGUACCUCAAAAGGAAGCACCGGCUAACUCCGUGCCAGCAGCCGCGGUAAUACGGAGGGUGCAAGCGUUAAUCGGAAUCACUGGGCGUAAAGCGCUCGUAGGCGGUUUGGUCAGUCAGAUGUGAAAGCCCUCGGCUUAACCGGGGAACUGCAUUUGAUACUGCCAGACUUGAGUGUCGGAGAGGGUGGCGGAAUUCCGGGUGUAGGAGUGAAAUCCGUAGAUAUCCGGAGGAACACCAGUGGCGAAGGCGGCCACCUGGACGACAACUGACGCUGAGGAGCGAAAGCGUGGGGAGCAAA